GACGUAGGGCGCGAGCGUUGUCCGGAUUUAUUGGGCGUAAAGAGCUCGUAGGCGGUUCGUCACGUCGGCUGUGAAAACCUGGGGCUCAACUCCGGGCCUGCAGCCGAUACGGGCGAACUAGAAUUCGGUAGGGGAGACUGGAAUUCCUGGUGUAGCGGUGAAAUGCGCAGAUAUCAGGAGGAACACCGGUGGCGAAGGCGGGUCUCUGGGCCGAUAUUGACGCUGAGGAGCGAAAGCGUGGGGAGCGAACAGG
rnacentral:rRNA from 1 species